AAAUUGAAGAGUUUGAUCAUGGCUCAGAUUGAACGCUGGCGGCAGGCCUAACACAUGCAAGUCGAACGGUAACAGGAAGCAGCUUGCUGCUUUGCUGACGAGUGGCGGACGGGUGAGUAAUGUCUGGGAAACUGCCUGAUGGAGGGGGAUAACUACUGGAAACGGUAGCUAAUACCGC
rnacentral:rRNA from 1 species